ACGUUUACACUCCUGCGGGAGGCAGCAGUGGGGAAUUUUGGACAAUGGGCGAAAGCCUGAUCCAGCAAUGCCGCGUGUGUGAAGAAGGCCUUCGGGUUGUAAAGCACUUUUGUCCGGAAAGAAAUCCUUGGCUCUAAUACAGUCGGGGGAUGACGGUACCGGAAGAAUAAGCACCGGCUAACUACGUGCCAGCAGCCGCGGUAAUACGUAGGGUGCGAGCGUUAAUCGGAAUUACUGGGCGUAAAGCGUGCGCAGGCGGUUUGCUAAGACCGAUGUGAAAUCCCCGGGCUCAACCUGGGAACUGCAUUGGUGACUGGCAGGCUAGAGUAUGGCAGAGGGGGGUAGAAUUCCACGUGUAGCAGUGAAAUGCGUAGAGAUGUGGAGGAAUACCGAUGGCGAAGGCAGCCCCCUGGGCCAAUACUGACGCUCAUGCACGAAAGCGUGGGGAGCAAACAGGAUUAGAUACCCCUGUAGUCCC
rnacentral:rRNA from 1 species